CAUGUCAGAGCGCUUUGAUGACGUGGCAACAAAUCGCGUCCACGAGGGGGCGAUUUGUUGCCACGUUAGCAAAGCGCUCUGACGUGG
rfam:Gossypium raimondii Chr08_contig_660, whole genome shotgun sequence.